UUACGACAAACGGCAUCGGCAUAGAUAUGAGGUCAAUCCUGAUAUGAUAUCAAAACUUGAAGCAGCUGGUCUCUCGUUUGUUGGAAGGGAUGAAACUGGUAGGAGGAUGGAGAUUGUAGAACUACCAAGCCAUCCAUAUUUUAUUGGUGUUCAGUUCCAUCCUAAAUUCAAGUCCAGACCAGGAAAACCUUAUGCUCUUUUCUCAGG